rnacentral:rRNA from 1 species
UACGUAGGGAGCGAGCGUUGUCCGGAUUUACUGGGUGUAAAGGGUGCGUAGGCGGCGAGGCAAGUCAGGCGUGAAAUCUAUGGGCUUAACCCAUAAACUGCGCUUGAAACUGUUUUGCUUGAGUGAAGUAGAGGUAGGCGGAAUUCCCGGUGUAGCGGUGAAAUGCGUAGAGAUCGGGAGGAACACCAGUGGCGAAGGCGGCCUACUGGGCUUUAACUGACGCUGAAGCACGAAAGCAUGGGUAGCAAACAGG